UGCGUAGGCGGACUAAUAAGUCAGUGGUGAAAUCUUUCGGCUCAACCGAGAAACUGCCAUUGAUACUGUUAGUCUUGAGUUCGGUUGAGGUAGGCGGAAUGUGUAAUGUAGCGGUGAAAUGCUUAGAUAUUACACAGAACACCAAUUGCGUAGGCAGCUUACUAGACCGACACUGACGCUGAGGCACAAAAGCGUGGGGAGCGAACAGGAUUAGAUACCCUGGUAGUC
rnacentral:rRNA from 1 species